rnacentral:rRNA from 1 species
GUAUGGUCACCAGAGAUGGAGACCUUCAGUUCGGCUGGCUGGAACACAGGUGCUGCAUGGCUGUCGUCAGCUCGUGUCGUGAGAUGUUGGGUUAAGUCCCGCAACGAGCGCAACCCUCGCUUCUAGUUGCCAGCAUUCAGUUGGGCACUCUAGAGGGACCGCCGGUGAUAAGCCGGAGGAAGGUGGGGAUGACGUCAAGUCCUCAUGGCCCUUACGGGUAGGGCUACACACGUGCUACAAUGGCGGUGACAGUGGGCAGCGACACAGCGAUGUGAUGCUAAUCCCAAAAAGCCGUCUCAGUUCAGAUUGCAGCCUGCAACUCGGCUGCAUGAAGUUGGAAUCGCUAGUAAUCGCUAAUCAGCAGGUAGCGGUGAAUACGUUCCCGGGCCUUGUACACACCGCCCGUCACACCAUGGGAGUUGGUCAUACCUGAAGACGGUGUUCUAACCCGCAAGGGAGGAAGCCGGCCACGGUGUGGUCAGCGACUGGGGUGAAGUCGUAACAAGGUAACCUAAUWAAAA